rnacentral:rRNA from 1 species
CAUGCAAGUCGAGCGAGAAAGUGACUUCGGUCACGAGUAAAGCGGCGAACGGGUGAGUACAACGUGGAUAAUCUACCCUAAGGUCCGGGACAACCCCGAGAAAUCGGAGCUAAUACCGGAUAAGACCACAGUAUCCGAGGAUACAGCGGUAAAAGAUUUAUCGCCUUUGGAUGAGUCCACGUCCCAUCAGGUAGUUGGUAAGGUAAAAGCUUACCAAGCCUAAGACGGGUAGCCGGCCUUAGCGGGUGAACGGCCACAUGGGGACUGAGACACGGCCCUGACUCCUACGGGAGGCAGCAGUGGGGAAUAUUGGGCAAUGGGCGAAAGCCUGACCCAGCGAUGCCGCGUGAGGGAUGAAGGCCUUCGGGUUGUAAACCUCUGUCAGGAGGGACGAUGGGACACUUGUGUCUUGACGGUACCUCCAGAGGAAGCCCCGGCUAACUCCGUGCCAGCAGCCGCGGUAAUACGGAGGGGGCAAGCGUUGCUCGGAAUUACUGGGCGUAAAGGGUCCGCAGGCUGUCAGGCAAGUUGGUUGUGAAAGCUCAAGGCUUAACCUUGGAAUUGCAUCCAAAACUGCCUGACUAGAGUCCAAGAGAGGUUGGCGGAAUUCCCGGUGUAGCGGUGAAAUGCAUAGAUAUCGGGAGGAACACCAGAGGCGAAGGCGGCCAACUGGCUUGGAACUGACG